AACACUUUAGUCAAAAAUAUCACAUAGGCUUUUUUUUUUUUUUUUCCUUCUGCCAGACGCGGCUCAUGAAACAUGUAGCUCAGCGGCCCAUUGGUUGUUUUCUUGAUUGACACUGGACUGGCCCAAUCAUAUCUUUGAACAGUGCCAUCUAUAGGAUUUCUGCCUGCACGCGGUUUCAGUGUGAUGGUGAUCAUGGAGAAGAAACGCAAAGGAGGUGCAGAGAAGCUGCGUGAGAGAAAAAAACGCUGCCAAAUGUGUCAAAUUGACACAAAUGUUUUCGGCAGUAGCAGCAGGGGCGUAAAUAGCGGGGGGGACAGGGGGUCAGGACCCCCCUAUCUGAGUGCUGUCCCCCCCAAAAAAUAUAAUUAAUAACCACGCUAAGUAUUGUGCAUAAAUUAUAUAAACUUAAAAUAAUUAUGUAAGUAGUAAAGCAAUACAAACGCAAACGGGCGUUUUAAGUUUAGAAACAUUUUGAGUCACCCCUCCCUUGCCUCACAGUGGUUUGGUCCACCGCGCACGUCACACUCGCUUGUGUGUAGAUUCUGUAGAAGUCCGGCGGCGCCGGCGGGAGAGAACAGUUCUACAGACAGAUGAGUUCCACAGAAUGACAAUGCACAGCAGUAUGGCCAUCAGAGCUCCAGUGCUGAGUCCCAUGGGAAAGAAGACGGCUUCCGCAUUGCAGGAAAGGAGGGAGCCGUCUGUGUCGCAGGUACACACCCGCACAGACACCGUCCCUGUGCUACUUCGGAUCGGGUAACCGCUGUCCUCCACGACAACUGGCACCAGGUCCUCAGCUGUGAUGGCUCCGACGAUGAUGCCCACUGGUGUGUCCUCGUAUGUCUCCAUUCUAUAAGACAGCCGGCUGAAGACAGGAGGCUCCUCCACAUCCAGAACAUUCACUUUCACUGUGGCAGUGUCCUUAA